UACGGAGGGUGCAAGCGUUGUCCGGAAUCACUGGGCGUAAAGGGCGCGUAGGCGGCUCGGUAAGUAGGGGGUGAAAUCCUGCGGCUUAACCGCAGGACUGCCUUCUAAACUGUCGAGCUCGAGCACGGUAGAGGCAGAUGGAAUUCCCGGUGUAGCGGUGGAAUGCGUAGAGAUCGGGAAGAACAUCAGUGGCGAAGGCGGUCUGCUGGGCCGUUGCUGACGCUGAGGCGCGACAGCGUGGGGAGCAAACAGG
rnacentral:rRNA from 1 species